CCACAAACAAACGAAAGUGUUACAGUAGCGAAAUCUAAAAAAAAUUCACAUGUAAACAAGGCCUAAGAUGUGGACGUGCCGUCUACCUCCGUGUCGCACCACCAUCUCUCUGUGUGUGUGUGAUGGGCUGCUUCACAACUCGUGCUGUGUCGCGUGUGCGUUCGGUGUUUUAUGUCUUCUCCAUGAGAUCAGCGAUUCCUCGGUUCGGCCCAUCAUGUAUAAAGCCAAUGAUUUAGAUAUAUUUUGAAGAGAACAGUAGGGGAAUCUCCUACCUAUAUUUUUUUGUAUUUCAAUUAAAUGAAAGAAUGAGGAGAGGCAAAAGAAAAAAACGAAGAGAAAGAAAAAGUACAGGGCAACCAGGCCCAAAAAGAAAAAGUACAACAAAGCUAUGGAUGAAAAUUGUCUCGCCCCGGGAUUAAAGGAGUCCGUCGUUUCUCAUUGGCCUUGAUACACACCAGGUCCAAUUCUUCUUUGAAUUUUCUUCUCCAAAUGGGGACGCUACAUUGUCCAUUAUAAAAAAUUAUGGAGUUUCUCAGAGUCCAUAUUGCUCAGCAAGCAGUAAUAACUGCUUCUCUGAAGAUUUGGCUUCCAAACUGGUCUCUAACAUUCACCAUCAUAUCCAGUGGAGGCAAGUUAAGAUUCCAGCUAAUUGGGAUGGAGCCCCA
rnacentral:lncRNA from 1 species